AUUGAACGCUGGCUACAGGCUUAACACAUGCAAGUCGAGGGGUAGCAGGGUAGCAAUACCGCUGACGACCGGCGCACGGGUGAGUAACACGUAUCCAACCUUCCCAUAACUCGGGGAUAGCCUUUCGAAAGAAAGAUUAAUACCCGAUAGUACUUUAUUAAGGCAUCUUAAGAAAGUUAAAGAUUUAUUGGUUAUGGAUGGGGAUGCGUUCCAUUAGAUAGUUGGUGAGGUAACGGCUCACCAAGUCUUAGAUGGAUAGGGGUUCUGAGAGGAAGGUCCCCCACAUUGGUACUGAGACACGGACCAAACUCCUACGGGAGGCAGCAGUGAGGAAUAUUGGUCAAUGGGCGAGAGCCUGAACCAGCCAAGUAGCGUGAAGGAUGAAGGUUCUAUGGAUUGUAAACUUCUUUUAUAGUAGAAUAAAGUGAACCACGUGUGGUUUUUUGUAUGUAUACUAUGAAUAAGGAUCGGCUAACUCCGUGCCAGCAGCCGCCGUAAGAC
rnacentral:rRNA from 1 species